rnacentral:rRNA from 1 species
GAUGAACGCUGGCGGCGUGCCUAAUACAUGCAAGUCGAGCGAACGGACGAGAAGCUUGCUUUUCUGAUGUUAGCGGCGGACGGGUGAGUAACACGUGGAUAACCUACCUAUAAGACUGGGAUAACUACGGGAAACCGGAGCUAAUACCGGAUAAUAUUUUGAACCGCAUGGUUCAAAAGUGAAAGACGGUCCUGCUGUCACUUAUAGAUGGAUCCGCGCUGCAUUAGCUAGUUGGUAAGGUAACGGCUUACCAAGGCAACGAUGCAUAGCCGACCUGAGAGGGUCAUCGGCCACACUGGAACUGAGCCACGGUCCAGACUCCUGCGGGAGGACGCGGUACGGAAUCUUCCGCAAGGGGCGAAAGCCUAACGGAGCAACGCCGCGUGAGUGAUGAAGGUCUUCGGAUCGUAAAACUCUGUUAUUAGGGAAGAACAUAUGUGUAAGUAACUGUGCACAUCUUGACGGUACCUAAUCAGAAAGCCACGGCUAACUACGUG